CUUCUGAGAAGGUUGCGCAGCAGCUGUGCCCGGCAGUCUAGAGGCGCAGAAGAGGAAGCCAUCGCCUGGCCCCGGCUCUCUGGACCUUGUCUCGCUCGGGAGCGGAAACAGCGGCAGCCAGAGAACUGUUUUAAUCAUGGACAAACAAAACUCACAGAUGAAUGCUUCUCACCCGGAAACAAACUUGCCAGUUGGGUAUCCUCCUCAGUAUCCACCGACAGCAUUCCAAGGACCUCCAGGAUAUAGUGGCUACCCUGGGCCCCAGGUCAGCUACCCACCCCCACCAGCCGGCCAUUCAGGUCCUGGCCCAGCUGGCUUUCCUGUCCCAAAUCAGCCAGUGUAUAAUCAGCCAGUAUAUAAUCAGCCAGUUGGAGCUGCAGGGGUACCAUGGAUGCCAGCGCCACAGCCUCCAUUAAACUGUCCACCUGGAUUAGAAUAUUUAAGUCAGAUAGAUCAGAUACUGAUUCAUCAGCAAAUUGAACUUCUGGAAGUUUUAACAGGUUUUGAAACUAAUAACAAAUAUGAAAUUAAGAACAGCUUUGGACAGAGGGUUUACUUUGCAGCGGAAGAUACUGAUUGCUGUACCCGAAAUUGCUGUGGGCCAUCUAGACCUUUUACCUUGAGGAUUAUUGAUAAUAUGGGUCAAGAAGUCAUAACUCUGGAGAGACCACUAAGAUGUAGCAGCUGUUGUUGUCCCUGCUGCCUUCAGGAGAUAGAAAUCCAAGCUCCUCCUGGUGUACCAAUAGGUUAUGUUAUUCAGACUUGGCACCCAUGUCUACCAAAGUUUACAAUUCAAAAUGAGAAAAGAGAGGAUGUACUAAAAAUAAGUGGUCCAUGUGUUGUGUGCAGCUGUUGUGGAGAUGUUGAUUUUGAGAUUAAAUCUCUUGAUGAACAGUGUGUGGUUGGCAAAAUUUCCAAGCACUGGACUGGAAUUUUGAGAGAGGCAUUUACAGACGCUGAUAACUUUGGAAUCCAGUUCCCUUUAGACCUUGAUGUUAAAAUGAAAGCUGUAAUGAUUGGUGCCUGUUUC
rnacentral:lncRNA from 1 species